rnacentral:rRNA from 1 species
UACAGAGGUCUCAAGCGUUGUUCGGAUUCAUUGGGCGUAAAGGGUGCGUAGGUGGUGAUGCAAGUCUGGUGUGAAAUCUCGGAGCUCAACUCCGAAAUUGCACCGGAUACUGCGUGACUCGAGGACUGUAGAGGAGAUCGGAAUUCACGGUGUAGCAGUGAAAUGCGUAGAUAUCGUGAGGAAGACCAGUGGCGAAGGCGAGUCUCUGGACAGUUACUGACACUGAGGCACGAAGGCCAGGGGAGCAAACGGG